rnacentral:rRNA from 1 species
AUUGAACGCUGGCGGCAUGCCUUACACAUGCAAGUCGAACGGCAGCACGGGAGCAAUCCUGGUGGCGAGUGGCGAACGGGUGAGUAAUACAUCGGAACGUGCCCAAUCGUGGGGGAUAACGCAGCGAAAGCUGUGCUAAUACCGCAUGAGAUCUACGGAUGAAAGCAGGGGACCGCAAGGCCUUGCGCGAAUGGAGCGGCCGAUGGCAGAUUAGCUAGUUGGUGAGGUAAAGGCUCACCAAGCCUGCGAUCUGUAGCUGGUCUGAGAGGACGACCAGCCACACUGGGACUGAGACACGGCCCAGACUCCUACGGGAGGCAGCAGUGGGGAAUUUUGGACAAUGGGCGCAAGCCUGAUCCAGCCAUGCCGCGUGCAGGAUGAAGGCCUUCGGGUUGUAAACUGCUUUUGUACGGAACGAAAAGGCUUUCUCUAAUAAAGGGGGCUCAUGACGGUACCGUAAGAAUAAGCACCGGCUAACUACGUGCCAGCAGCCGCGGUAAUACGUAGGGUGCAAGCGUUAAUCGGAAUUACUGGGCGUAAAGCGUGUGCAGGCGGUGAUGUAAGACAGUUGUGAAAUCCCCGGGCUCAACCUGGGAACUGCAUCUGUGACUGCAUCGCUGGAGUGCGGCAGAGGGGGAUGGAAUUCCGCGUGUAGCAGUGAAAUGCGUAGAUAUGCGGAGGAACACCGAUGGCGAAGGCAAUCCCCUGGGCCUGCACUGACGCUCAUGCACGAAAGCGUGGGGAGCAAACAGGAUUAGAUACCCUGGUAGUCCACGCCCUAAACGAUGUCAACUGGUUGUUGGGUCUUCACUGACUCAGUAACGAAGCUAACGCGUGAAGUUGACCGCCUGGGGAGUACGGCCGCAAGGU